rnacentral:misc_RNA from 1 species
CCGAGUUUACAACUCCCAAACCCCUGUGAGCAUACCCUAUCGUUGCCUUCGGCGGAUCCGCCCCGGCGCCCUGGUACGGGAUCAGGCGCCCGCCAGGAGACCCCUAAAACUCUUGUAUUUCUAUAUGUAUCUUCUGAGUAAACAAGCAUAAUAAAUA